GACGAACGCUGGCGGCGUGCUUAACACAUGCAAGUCGUACGGUAAGGCCCUCUCGGGGGUACACGAGUGGCGAACGGGUGAGUAAAACGGGAGUAACCUGCCCACAACUUUGGGCUAACGCUUGGAAAUUGGUCCUAAUACUGGAUAUGUGCUCCUGCUGCAUGGGGGGGGUUGGAAAGCUCCGGGGGUUCGGGAUGGCCGCGCGGGCUAACGGCCUGUUGGUGGGGUAGUGGCCUAACAGGGUGGUGGCGGGUCGCCGGCCGGACAGGGUGCCCGGCCACAUUGGGCCUGAGAUACGGCCCAGACUGCUGCGGGAGGCAGUAGUGGGGAAUAUGGCACAAUGGGCGCAAGCCUGAUGCAGGAACGCCGCGUGCGGGAUGACGGCCUUCGGGUUGUAAACCGCUUUCAGCAGGGACGAAGCUUUUUGUGACGGUACCUGCAGAAGAAGCACCGGCUAACUACGUG
rnacentral:rRNA from 1 species